rnacentral:ncRNA from 1 species
CAGAGUAGGGUUCGGCAUGUUUAAGUGCCGGCGGGACGGGGAGUUGUCCGCCGGACGAAAAGAGCGUGUCUCUUGCAGUGCCGCCCCCGCAUCCCGCUG